CAAAUAUCUGCCCUAUCAACUUUCGAUGGUAGGAUAGUGGCCUACCAUGGUGUUUUACGGGUAACGGGGAAUAAGGGUUCGAUUCCGGAGAGGGAGCCUGAGAAACGGCUACCACAUCCAAGGAAGGCAGCAGGCGCGCAAAUUACCCAAUCCCAAUUCGGGGAGGUAGUGACAAUAAAUAACAAUAUAGGGCUCUUUUGGGUCUUAUAAUUGGAAUGAGUACAAUUUAAAUCACUUAACGAGGAACAAUUGGAGGGCAAGUCUGGUGCCAGCAGCCGCGGUAAUUCCAGCUCCAAUAGCGUACUAUUAAAGUUGUUGCAGUUAAAAAGCUCGUAGUUGAACCUUGGGCCUGGCUGGCCGGUCCGCCUCACCGCGUGCACUGGUCCGGCCGGGCCUUUCCUUCUGGGGAGCCGCAUGCCCUUCACUGGGUGUGUCGGGGAACCAGGACUUUUACUUUGAAAAAAUUAGAGUGUUCAAAGCAGGCCUAUGCUCGAAUACAUUAGCAUGGAAUAAUAGAAUAGGACGUGUGGUUC
rnacentral:rRNA from 1 species